rnacentral:rRNA from 1 species
CAGUAGCCGCGGGAAUACAGAGGGUGCAAGCGUUAAUCGGAAUUACUGGGCGUAAAGCGCGCGUAGGUGGUUCGCCAAGUUGGAUGUGAAAUCCCCGGGCUCAACCUGGGAACUGCAUCCAAAACUGGCGAGCUAGAGUAUGGUAGAGGGUGGUGGAAUUUCCUGUGUAGCGGUGAAAUGCGUAGAUAUAGGAAGGAACAUCAGUGGCGAAGGCGACCACCUGGACUGAUACUGACACUGAGGUGCGAAAGCGUGGGGAGCAAACAGGAUUAGAUACCCGGGUAGUCCCUGUCUCUUAUAC